UGGAUUUUCAUCCAAAUGAGAUGAGAAGGAGCAUCUCAAGGGGUUUUCCCUUUCAUAAAAUUCAUAUUCAAAUGCAAAAUUCCCCAGACGAAGUUCCCAUGGAAAGUUUCCAGGAAAUUUUCUGCUCGAUUGUAACCCUAGUAGAAGCUCAUGCAAAUGUAAAAACAGACAGGCUGCGUGACAUCCUUAUACUUAAAAACCAUAAACAAAAUUACAAAACCACUUCCCAUUAAAUUCCUGCAUCUAUACAUCUCCAUCAGAAGACAAAAUUCAUACAAGCACAAGACUCACUGCAGAGGAACCAGUGUCCAGCGAGGAGCAUCUCAGCUGAGCACGAAACGAAAAAGAAAACCAUCAAGAUCAUUUAGUACACUUACAGUAGAACAAGAAGAAAUGAACAUACAAAUACCAACACCAGCAGUAGCAGUGACUGGGGUCUCCGUUCAGCCUGCUGUAUCGGUGGUUCAGCCCGCUGUAACGUAUGUUCAGCCCGCAGUAUCGGUGGUUCAGCCUGCUGUGAUCAUGAGUCCAAUGCCAGUGGUUGCUGCAGUACCAGAUUACUUGGGCUACUCCAUCUUUACCAUGCUGUGCUGCUGUUUACCUCUGGGCAUCGUUGCUACCAUCUUCUCAUGCAACACUCGAGAUGCUAACUUGUCUGGACAGCGAGAGUUAGCGAUGAGCCACUCCAGAAUUGCAUUUAUCCUGAACAAUGUGGCUCUCGGUAUCGGCCUCACAGUCAUAACAGUGGUCAUUAUCAUUCGUUUUACAGUUCUUUGAACAACAUCGUUGAACAGAUGUUUUAUUCUGCUUCAAAUGCAUCUACUUAUACUGUCAAUGAUACCGUCAACUCAAAUCAAUGAUUUUGUGGAAGAAAUGAAAAAUAUUUUCCAGACCCUCUGAAGGGAAUGAUCUAAUGUACGCUUAUGUUUUAUUUCUUUUUGUAUUUAAUGCUGGCAGACUGAUCUGUUUGAUUAGCAGUCGGUUUGAUUUACUGCUUUUCACUUAAUCCUUUUUUUUUUUUUUUUUUUGGUAAAUUACACAUUAAAAUACAGCACUGCACUAAAAACAUUAAUUGUUCUGGUCAUCUAUAGGGGCUUUCACACUGGAGGAACCUUUUCAUAGUUCCUAGAACUAUUGGCGGAAAAACUCUCACUUUUUGGCAUCAAACUUAUUGUUCUAGGAUCUCCGUUUGGGGGAAUUAAAUAGGGGAUAAUUGCAAUGACUUCUGUAUUCUUUUAAACAGGUCUCACCGCUUCAGGUUCAAGCGUUUUGCAUAUGCAUCAUUAAAUAUGAAGUUGUUUUACUCAAGAUUCAUUCAAAAGUACAAGCAAAUAAAUGAUCAUAACCAAUGUCCA
ensembl:lncRNA